rnacentral:rRNA from 1 species
CUAUGCGCCUUGCCAGCCCGCUCAGGUGUGCCAGCAGCCGCGGUAAUACGUAGGUGGCAAGCGUUAUCCGGAUUUACUGGGUGUAAAGGGGGCGCAGACGGCGAUGCAAGCCAGGAGUGAAAGCCCGGGGCCCAACCCCGGGACUGCUCUUGGAACUGCGUGGCUGGAGUGCAGGAGGGGCAGGCGGAAUUCCUGGUGUAGCGGUGAAAUGCGUAGAUAUCAGGAGGAACACCGGUGGCGAAGGCGGCCUGCUGGACUGCAACCGACGUUGAGGCCCGAAAGCGUGGGAGCAAACAGG